GGCCAGUUAGCUCAGUUGGUUAGAGUGUGGUGCUAAUAACACCAAGGUUGCGGGUUCAAUUCCCUCAUGGGCCA